GAAGCCUUUAAUUUUUCUAAGGUUGACCUCGGAUCAGGUAGGGAUACCCGCUGAACUUAAGCAUAUCAAUAAGCGGAGGAAAAGAAACCAACAGGGAUUGCCCUAGUAACGGCGAGUGAAGCGGCAACAGCUCAAAUUUGAAAGCUGGCCUUCGGGUCCGCAUUGUAAUUUGUAGAGGAUGCUUUGGGGCAGCCGCCUGUCUAAGUUCCUUGGAACAGGACGUCAUAGAGGGUGAGAAUCCCGUAUGUGACAGGACAUGGCACCCUAUGUAAAGCUCCUUCGACGAGUCGAGUUGUUUGGGAAUGCAGCUCUAAAUGGGAGGUAAAUUUCUUCUAAAGCUAAAUACCGGCGAGAGACCGAUAGCGCACAAGUAGAGUGAUCGAAAGAUGAAAAGCACUUUGGAAAGAGAGUUAAAAAGCACGUGAAAUUGUUGAAAGGGAAGCGCUUGCAAUCAGACUUGUCUUGACUGUUCGGCCGGUCUUCUGACCGGUUUACUCAGUCUGGACAGGCCAGCAUCAGUUUUGGCGGCCGGAUAAAGGCCUAGGGAAUGUGGCUCUCGCUUCGGUGGGAGKGUUAUAGCCCUGGGUGUAAUACGGCCAGCCGGGACUGAGGUCCG
rnacentral:rRNA from 1 species